rnacentral:rRNA from 1 species
CCGAAUCAACUAGCCCUGAAAAUGGAUGGCGCUCUAGCGAGAGACCUAUACUUCGCCGUUACUGGCUUGCUCGAAACAGGCCGUAACGUGUAAGAGGGUCGCAGCGGUGCGCGUUGAAGGUUUAAGGCGUGAGCCUGACUGGAGCCACCGUUGGUGCAGAUCUUGGUGGUAGUAGCAAAUAUUCAAGUGAGAUCCUUGAAGACUGAAGUGAAAAAGGUUUCCACGUGAACAGCAGUUGAAUGUGGGUCAGUCGGUCCUAAGCAUACGGCGCUAGCCGUCACGAAAUAUGAGCGUUCAACUAUUUUCGAAUGGUACCUCAUUUUAUGCGAAAGGGAAGCAGGUUAAUAUUCCUGCACUAUACUUGGAGAUGUUCACUCCUUGUGAGUGUUCUGGGGCGGUAACGCAAAUGAACUCGCUAACGUUGCUGGAGGUUCGGGCCAGAGUUCUCUUUUCUGGUUUAGAAAUUGUGUCCAUGGAAUGGGUUCAGCCCGAGAUAUGGAUGUUGGUUUCGUAGAGCGCCGCGGUUCCUGCGGUGUCCCGAGUGCUUCCAGUGACCCUUGAAAAAGCGAGGGAACCCGAAUGAAUUUCAAGUAUAUCCGUACCGAAUCCGCAUCAGGUUUUCAAGGUGAACAGCCUCUAGUCGAUAGAAUAAUGUAGGUAAGGGAAGUCGGCAAAUUAGAUCCGUAACUUCGGGAAAAGGAUUAGCUCUAAGGAUUGGGUUGGACGGGCGGUUGCGCAAAACUUGGCCGACCGUGGUCAUGGCUGCGGGAUGCUUCGGCUGAACGCGGACUAGUGCUGCGGUUGCUUUGUGGAGUGCUUCAGCUUCGGUGCAAGUCUCGGCUUGUUCUCACGUCCAACAAUUAACAAUCGACUUAGAACUGACACGGACACGGGGAAUCCGACUGUCUAAUUAAAACAGAGCAGAUGGAUGGCGUUUGUAUGCGUUGACCAUCUGUGAUUUCUGCCCAGUGCUCUGAAUGUUAACUUAAGGAAACUUAAUUAAGCGCGGGUAAACGGCGGGAGUAACUAUGACUCUCUUAAGGUAGCCAAAUGCCUCGUCAUCUAAUUAGUGACGUGCACGAAUGGAUUAACGAGAUUCCCACUGUCCCUAUCUACUAUCUAGCGAAACCACAGCCAAGGGAACGGGCUUGGAAAACAUAGCGGGGAAAGAAGACCCUGUUGAGCUUGACUCUAGUCUGACUUUGUGAAGAAACAUGAGAGGUGUAGUAUAAGGGGGAGACUUCGGUCACCAGUGAAAUACCCCUACUUUCAUCGUUUCCUUACUUAUUUGGUUGAACGGUGAUUGGACGCAAGUCCUUUGUUUUGGAAUUAAGCCGGUGUACUUGGUACGCCGGUGAACCGCACUGAUGACAUUGUCAGGCGGGGAGUUUGACUGGGGCGGUACAUCUAUCAAAUCGUAACGUAGGUGUCCUAAGGUGAACUCAGAGAGGACGGAAACCUCUCGUUGACUAAAAGGAGAAAAGUUCACUUGAUUUUGAUUCUCAGUACGAAUACAGACCGCGAAAGCGUGGCCUAUCGAUCCUUUUGGAUUAUGGAGUAUAUAACAAGAGGUGUCAGAAAAGUUACCACAGGGAUAACUGGCUUGUGGCAGCCAAGCGUCCAUAGCGACGUUGCUUUUUGAUCCUUCGAUGUC